rnacentral:rRNA from 1 species
GAUGAACGCUGGCGGCGUGCCUAAUACAUGCAAGUCGAGCGAACAGAUGAGGAGCUUGCUCCUCUGACGUUAGCGGCGGACGGGUGAGUAACACGUGGAUAACCUACCUAUAAGACUGGGAUAACUUCGGGAAACCGGAGCUAAUACCGGAUAAUAUAUUGAACCGCAUGGUUCAAUAGUGAAAGACGGUUUUGCUGUCACUUAUAGAUGGAUCCGAGCCGCAUUAGCUAGUUGGUAAGGUAACGGCUUACCAAGGCAACGAUGCGUAGCCGACCUGAGAGGGUGAUCAGCCACACUGGAACUGAGACACGGUCCAGACUCCUACGGGAGGCAGCAGUAGGGAAUCUUCCGCAAUGGGCGAAAGCCUGACGGAGCAACGCCGCGUGAGUGAUGAAGGUCUUCGGAUCGUAAAACUCUGUUAUUAGGGAAGAACAAAUGUGUAAGUAACUAUGCACGUCUUGACGGUACCUAAUCAGAAAGCCACGGCUAACUACGUG